CCCCCUAUAAAAAUCUUCUGAUUCCGUUACAGAUCCCCAAUGAACCUCAUAAUUCAAACACAUAAAAUUGCAUAUUCCUUGCCGCAAACAUAAGAAUAUGUUUUGUUUUCUCUCAAGGAGAGAUUUGACUAACAUAUGUCGGAUUAUCUGUCCUUGCUCGCAAGUCUUUAAGAAUACUAGUAUGAGAUCUCACAUAUGUACAGCCUUAAAAACGCUAUUUUAAC
rnacentral:lncRNA from 1 species